UACGGAGGGUGCAAGCGUUAUCCGGAAUCACUGGGUUUAAAGGGUGCGUAGGCGGUCUGAUAAGUCAGUCGUGAAAUCGCUGGGCUCAACCUUUGCAACUGCGAUUGAUACUGUUAGACUUGAAUGAGAUUGAGGCAGGCGGAAUGUGGCAUGUAGCGGUGAAAUGCUUAGAUAUGCCAUAGAACACCAAUUGCGAAGGCAGCCUGCUGGGCCUUUAUUGACGCUGAGGCACGAAAGCGUGGGGAGCAAACAGGAUUAGAUACCCUGGUAGUCCACGCCCUAAACGAUGUUUACUUGCUGUUCCUGGGCAACUGGGAGCGGCGUAGCGAAAGCGAUAAGUAAACCACCUGGGGAGUACGCCGGCAACGGUG
rnacentral:rRNA from 1 species